GCCGAACCGUGCGAACGUUGUUCGGAAUGACUGGGCUUAAAGGGUGCGUAGGCGGGUCCGCCAGUCUGUGGUGAAAUCCUCCCGCUCAACGGGAGAACGGCCGUGGAUACUGCGGACCUCGAGGAAGAUAGGGGCGUGCGGAACAGUUGGUGGAGCGGUGAAAUGCGUUGAUAUCAACUGGAACUCCGGUGGCGAAGGCGGCACGCUGGGUCUUUUCUGACGCUGAGGCACGAAAGCUAGGGGAGCAAACGGG
rnacentral:rRNA from 1 species